AAAUGAUUUCUUCGGAAUGAACUUAAGUGGAUUAGUGGCGGACGGGUGAGUAACGCGUGAGUAACCUGCCUUACACAAGGGGAUAGCCGUUGGAAACGACGAAUAAUACCCUAUGAAACUAUCACUUCGCAUGAAGCGAUAGUCAAAGUGUUAGCGGUGUAAGAUGGACUUGCGUCUGAUUAGCUAGUUGGUGAGAAAAAAGCCCACCAAGGCAACGAUCAGUAGCCGGCUUGAGAGAGUGCACGGCCACAUUGGGACUGAGACACGGCCCAGACUCCUACGGGAGGCAGCAGUGGGGAAUUUUGCACAAUGGGGGAAACCCUGAUGCAGCGACGCCGCGCGAUUUAGAAGGCCUUCGGGUUGUAAAAAUCUUUUGUAUAGGAAGAAAAUGACAGUACUAUACGAAUAAGGUCCGGCUAAUUACGUGCCAGCAGCCGCGGUAAUACGUAAGGACCGAGCGUUGUCCGGAAUCAUUGGGCGUAAAGGGUACGUAGGCGGGUCAUUAAGUUAGAAGUCAAAGGCUAUAGCUCAACUAUAGUAAGCUUCUAAAACUGGAGACCUUGAGUAAUGGAAGGGAAAGUGGAAUUCCUAGUGUAGCGGUGGAAUGCGCAGAUAUUAGGAGGAAUACCGGUGGCGAAGGCGACUUUCUGGCCAUUAACUGACGCUGAGGUACGAAAGC
rnacentral:rRNA from 2 species